rnacentral:rRNA from 1 species
UCGGAUUAGCUAGUUGGCGGGGUAAAGGCCCACCAAGGCGACGAUCCGUAGCUGGUCUGAGAGGAUGAUCAGCCACACUGGAACUGACACACGGCCCAAACUCCUACGGGAGGCAGCAGUGGGGAAUAUUGGACAAUGGGCGCAACCCUGAUCCAGCCAUACCGCGUGGGUGAAGAAGGCCUUCGGGUUGUAAACCCUUUUGUUGGGAAAAAUCCAGCUGGCUAAUACCCGGUUGGGAUGACGGACCCAAAGAAUAGCACCGGCUAACUUCGUGCCGCAGCCGCGGUAAUACGAAGGGUGCAAGCGUUCUCGGAAUUCUGGGCGUAAAGCGUGCGUAGGUGGUCGUUUAGUCCGUUGUGAAACCCCUGGGCUCAACCUGGGAACUGCGUGGAUCUGGGCGACUAAGUGUGGAGAGGGUACGGAAUUCCUGGUGUA